UUCUUAUUGGAUGAUGACUGUCACGUGUUAUGUUCUGAUUGGUUAAUGAAAACAACAAUGCAUUUCAUCUUUCAUGGAGUUGACAUCCAAUCAGAACAUGACAGUUGACAGUCAUCAUUC
rnacentral:pre_miRNA from 1 species